rnacentral:rRNA from 1 species
UACAGAGGGGGCAAGCGUUAUUCGGAAUUAUUGGGCGUAAAGGGCGCGUAGGCGGCUUGGCAAGUGGAAGGUGAAAUCCCUCGGCUUAACCGAGGAACUGCCCUCCAAACUGCUUCGCUUGAGACCGGGAGAGGUGAGUGGAAUUCCCAGUGUAGCGGUGAAAUGCGUAGAUAUUGGGAGGAACACCAGUGGCGAAGGCGGGUCUCUGGACAGUUCCUGACGCUGAGGCACGAAGGUCAGGGGAGCAAACGGGG